AUUGAACGCUGGCGGCACGCCUAACACAUGCAAGUCGAGCGGUAACAUAAAUUGUAGCAAUACAAUUUGAUGACGAGCGGCGGACGGGUGAGGAACACGUAGGAACCUGCCCAAGAGUGGGGGACAACCAAGGGAAACUUUGGCUAAUACCGCAUAAUCUCUUAGGAGAAAAGUUGCCCGUAAGGGUAGCGCUUUUGGAGGGGCCUGCGUCCGAUUAGUUAGUUGGUGAGGUAAUGGCUCACCAAGACGAUGAUCGGUAACUGGUCUGAGAGGCCGACGAGGCACACUGGGACUGAGACACGGCCCAGACUCCUACGGGAGGCAGCAGUGGGGAAUCUUGGACAAUGGGGGCAACCCUGAUCCAGCGAUGCCGCGUGGGUGAAGAAGGCCUUCGGGUUGUAAAGCCCUUUAGGCUGGGAAGAAGUGUGCGGGACGAAUAAUCCUGUACAUUGACUGUACCAGCAGAAUAAGCACCGGCAAACUCUGUGCCAGCAGCCGCCGUAA
rnacentral:rRNA from 1 species